rnacentral:rRNA from 2 species
UGGGGAAUAUUGCGCAAUGGGCGAAAGCCUGACGCAGCGACGCCGCGUGAGGGAUGAAGGUCUUCGGAUCGUAAACCUCUGUCAGCAGGGAAGAACGGUCACUGUGCUAAUCAGCAGUGAAUUGACGGUACCUGCAAAGGAAGCACCGGCUAACUCCGUGCCAGCAGCCGCGGUAAUACGGAGGGUGCGAGCGUUAAUCGGAAUUACUGGGCGUAAAGCGCUCGUAGGCGGUAUGUCAAGUCAAGGGUGAAAUCCCCGCGCUCAACGUGGGAACUGCCUUUGAAACUGGCAAACUGGAGUGUGUGAGAGGAUAGUGGAAUUCCAGGUGUAGGAGUGAAAUCCGUAGAUAUCUGGAGGAACAUCAGUGGCGAAGGCGACUAUCUGGCACAUAACUGACGCUGAGGAGCGAAAGCGUGGGUAGCAAACAGG